GUCAGGAUGGCCGAGCGGUCUAAGGCGCCAGACUCAAGGCAUUCAGUCUUGCCCUUCGCAGAAGGGCGUGUGAGCGUUCUGGUCCUCUCUGAGGGCGUGGGUUCGAAUCCCACUUCUGACA
rfam:Drosophila simulans chromosome 3R, whole genome shotgun sequence.